rnacentral:rRNA from 2 species
GGUAAGUUAGUAAGGGCAUACGGUGGAUGCCUUGGCACAGAGAGGCGAUGAAGGACGCGACUACCUGCGAUAAGCCCCGGGAAGCUGGAAAUGAGCUUUGAUCCGGGGAUUUCCGAAUGGGAUAACCCGGCAGGAUUAAUAUUCUGCCAUCAGAAAUGAGGCUAACCCGGGGAAGUGAAACAUCUCAGUACCCGGAGGAAAAGAAAUCGAACGAGAUUCCCGGAGUAGCGGCGAGCGAAAUGGGAACAGCCUAAACCACGGUGCAUGCACCGUGGGGUUGUAGGACCUCCCACAACCUUGCUUAUGAAUAGUAGAAUGUUCUGGAAAGUUCAACCAUAGAAGGUGACAGUCCUGUAAACGAAAUUCAGAAGCAAGCGGGGGGUAUCCUGAGUACUGCGGAGCAAGUGGAAUUCUGCAGGAAUCCGGGCCGACCACGGUCUAAGGCUAAAUACUCCUCUGUGACCGAUAGUGUACCAGUACCGUGAGGGAAAGGUGAAAAGAACCCUUCAGAAGGGAGUGAAAAGAACCUGAAACCGUAUGCUUACAAACGGUGGGAGCAAAAUAUGAUUCUUCGGAAUCAUAAUGAGUGACCUCGUGCCUUUUGCUUAAUGAGCCAACGAGUUGCUCGUUACGUGCAAGGGUAAGGCUCUAUGAGCCGCACCCGCAGCGAAAGCAAGUCUGAAUAGGGCGAAUCAGUACGUAGCGGCAGACGCGAAACUGUGUGAUCUAUCCAUGGUCAGGAUGAAGCGUAGGUAACACUACGUGGAGGUCCGAACUAGUGUGGGUUGAAAACCGCUUGGAUGAACUGUGGAUAGGGGUGAAAGGCCAAUCAAACUCAGUUAUAGCUCGUACUCCCCGAAAUGUUUUUAGGAACAGCCUUGCAAUAGUGUACCGGAGGUAGGGCUCUGAUUGGGCUAGGGCCGUUACAGCGGUACCAACCCCAGAUAAACUACAAAUUCCGGCUACAUGGUCUGCAGGAGUGAGGCGGUGAGGGAUAAGCUUCAUUGCCGAGAGGGAAAUAACCCAGACCUACAACUAAGGUCCCCAAGUAAAUGCUAACAGAUAAAGGAGGUUGUGUUGCUGAGACAGCCAGGAUGUUGGCUUAGAAGCAGCCAUUCAUUCAAAGAGUGCGUAAUAGCUCACUGGUCGAGCGACACAGCGCCGAUAAUACUCGGGACUAAGCAUUUCACCGAAGUUUAGGAUUUCUAGCAAUAGAAGUGGUAGGGGAGCAUUCCGUAGGCAUCGAAGGUGUGAUGUGAGUCAUGCUGGAGCGUACGGAAGAGCAAAUGUUGGCAUAAGUAACGAUAAUUCAGAUGAGAAUUCUGGACGCCGAAAACCUAAGGUUUCCUUGAGCUCUGUUCGUCAUCUCAGGGUUAGUCGGCCCCUAAGGCGAGGCUGAGAAGCGUAGUCGAUGGAAAGCAGGCAAAUUAAAACAUUCCUGCACCACCAAAAACGUUAACCACAGGGACGCAGGAGCGUAGUUGCACCGGUUUAAUGGCUAUACCGGUGUAGUGAAGCACCUGCCGAGAAAAGCUGUGGGAAUUGUUCAGGUGACCGUACCGUAAACCGACACAGGUGGGUGGGUUGAAUAUACUAAGGCGCGCGAGUGAGUCGUGGUUAAGGAACUCGGCAAAUUAACCCCGUAACUUCGGGAGAAGGGGUGCUCCGGGCAACCGGAGCCGCAGUGAAAUGGCCCAGGCGACUGUUUAACAAAAACACAGCACUCUGCUAACACGUGAAGUGGAUGUAUAGGGUGUGACACCUGCCCGGUGCCGGAAGGUUAAAAGGAGGAGUCAUCCCGAUUCGUCGGGAGAAGCCCUGAAUUGAAGCCCCGGUAAACGGCGGCCGUAACUAUAGAAUAAGGACACUGUAGUUACUAUAAUAAAUUUAGCUAUAUGCUGGAAAAUCCGGUGUAUCCGCUGCUACUCAUUGCUAAAUCUCACAAGAGAUUGAAUACGGCAAUAGUGAAAAUGCAAGCGGUGCGGACAAUCAGCAGGAAAGGAGUGAAUUAAUGCUAAAUCUGAAAAAAAUCCCUCUCGCAACCGGCUACUACCUAGCAGGUUUUGCAGACGGAGAAGGAAGUUUUAACGUAAGUUUCCGUCCCAGAGCUGACUUUUCAGCUCAUUGGAAAAUAUCACUGUGUUUCAAUAUAUCUCAAAAAGAUGCCGUAAUAUUAUCUGCAUUCAAGCGAACUCUCCAAUGCGGAACCAUGAGACAACGAAAAGACGGAAUUUGGUAUUACGAAGUGAAUAAUCUAGAAUCCAUUCGUAAUAACGUAAUUCCUUUUUUCAACAAAUUUCGGUUUCGCUCUGCAAAAAAGAAAAGAGAUUUCGCCAAAUUCAAAGAAAUUGCAGAAUUAAUGCUCGAUAAUAAACACUUAACUCUUGAUGGUAUAAAAGAAAUACUGAUAAUCAGAUAUGAUAUGAAUGACGGAGGCAAACGCAGAUACAGUGACGAAGAAAUUUUGUCACAUUACACUAAUCCUCAGAGACUACACGCUAAACACUGACAUCAAUCAGUGAUGAUAUAGUCCGAACUGUAUGGCGACAUACAGAGGCAGGCAGAAAUGCCCUGCCCCUUUAAAUAAUCAAACGAUAAUUUAAAGACGUAACAUAUUGAACGGUCCUAAGGUAGCGAAAUUCCUUGUCGGGUAAGUUCCGACCUGCACGAAUGGUGUAACGAUCUGGGCACUGUCUCAACCACGAGCUCGGUGAAAUUGUGGUACCGGUGAAGACGCCGGUUACCCGCACAUGGACGGAAAGACCCCGUGCACCUUUACUGCAGCUUAAUAUUGGGUUUGGCUGCAGCUUGCGUAGGAUAGGUGGGAGGCUUCGAAGCGGGACUCGCGGGUUCCGCAGAGCCAACGGUGAAAUACCACCCUUGCUGCAAUUGGAUCCUAACCCGGAGGAGUGCAUCCUCGGGGACAGUGUUAGGUGGGCAGUUUGACUGGGGCGGUCGCCUCCUAAAUCGUAACGGAGGCUUACAAAGGUUACCUCAGCACGGUUGGUAAUCGUGCUUAGAGCGCAAAGGCAUAAGGUAGCUUAACUGCGAGACAUACAGGUCGAGCAGGUGCGAAAGCAGGUCUUAGUGAUCCGGCGGCACUGUGUGGAAGGGCCGUCGCUCAAAGGAUAAAAGGUACGCCGGGGAUAACAGGCUGAUCUUCCCCAAGAGUUCAUAUCGACGGGAAGGUUUGGCACCUCGAUGUCGGCUCAUCGCAUCCUGGGGCUGGAGAAGGUCCCAAGGGUUUGGCUGUUCGCCAAUUAAAGCGGUACGUGAGCUGGGUUCAGAACGUCGUGAGACAGUUCGGUCCCUAUCCUGUGCGGGCGGAGGACAAUUGAGGGACCCCGUCAUUAGUACGAGAGGACCGUGACGCCAGGACCUACGGUGUAUCUGUUGUUACGCCAGUAGCAUUGCAGAGUAGCCAUGUCCUGAAAGGAUAAGCGCUGAAAGCAUCUCAAGCGCGAAACCUAUCCCAAGAUUAGUUGUCCCAAUUAGUAAGGACCCAGGUAGAUGACCUGGUUGAUAGGCUUUACGUGGAAGUGUAGUAAUACACGCAGCGGAGAAGUACUAAUAGUCCGAGGACUUACCGUUUAAUUUUUUUAGGUUG